rnacentral:lncRNA from 1 species
CUGUUCUGGUGCUUGGUCAUCCACACAGCAAAACACUGUUUCCUGACAUUCAGAUCUCAGCUCCUGUGUUUCAGUUUGUGCCCAUUGCCUCUUUUCCUGAACCAAAGACCUUGCUGUCUAACCAAACCUGCGGUCAGCCUCAAGACACAGGAGUCCUCUCACACAAACUGUUUCAUUUUUGACAUCUUCAUUAAAAAUGCUGUUUCUCCAAUAGUUCAAACCAUUCCUUUGUCCACUGUUGCAUUAGGCGUGCACGAACACUCGGGAUGUAACGCGAUAGGCCCUCCCCUGCUCGGUUAUGCAUAUGUAGAAGGAGUUAUGCAUAUGUAGAAGGGGUGUAGACGAAGUAGAUAGCGGCUUAUUUAAACCGCUAACACACACAAUAAAACGCCAUUUAGCUAUUCACCAUAUUGGUGUGAACGUGUAGUUAAAUGGGCCCCGGCUGGAGGAGGCCGGAUUCGCGGAGGCUUAACCCUUGAAUCCUGGCGUGAAAGGGACCACUGGUAACAAGUGGUGCCCCGUGUGAGGACGUUAGGAUUCAAGGCGUUGGACAUCCUCUGCAUGCCCGUCGGAUUGAGAGAGUCUGUGAGGUCGGCGGCAGGCUACCGGCGGUAGGACCGUGGUUUCGGGGCCGAGCGAACUUCUUCGUCUCGGAUCGACUAUGGAGCAAGUCGUAAAGGUAUUGCUUCAAUUUUGUAAAGACCAUGGUGGCAAGCGUGUUCCUUCUAAGAAGGACAUCGCGGCCGUCAUUAGAUGCCUAGAAAAGGAGAGAGAGCUUUCCUCUCCUUGGGAGAUUUUGGACCACAAUAAGUGGGACUCUUUAACUUUUUCGCUCUGUGAACGCACAAUGAAUGAGCAGAAAGAUGCUGAGCUCAAAACGUGGGGGUUGGUGCUUGGGGCGCUGAAAGCGGCUCGGAAAGAGGGGAAGACUGAAACUCAGGUUGGGACGGCGGAAUGUGGGUCGGGAGGCUUUUUCUCUUGCAGAUGUGAGGAUUUGAAAGACAAAGACAAGGUGGCGCGAGCCAUCCACGCCAUCCCGACCGCAGCCAUCACUCCGGCUGAACAACAACCAGAUGGCCCUGUGCAGCAGCAUUCCACACAUUCCACAUCCUUAUCUCUUGACCAGCAGAAGCCUUCCUCGGAGGCCCCAUCACGGUAUCCAAAGCAACCUGCACUCCUUCGCCCAUCCUUGGGGGUGGGGAAGGGGAGUGAGCAGGGGCGGGAGGAUGGGUCCCUUCCUCGAGAUGGGAUGGGUUGUGGGUGUGGUUCCGCCCCGGGGGGCGGGGUGGAUAGGAGUAACCAAGAUAGAAGCCAAUCCACAUCAGCGGGGGCGGAGGCGGAGGCGUUCCUAGUCAUCAUAACCCUUCCCCAAGAGGGUGGGCUGCUCGUCCGCCUCUACCUGGGAGGAGGGGGAAGGGAGAAGAAGAGCGACCAAGUCACGGAUUGGUCAAAGAUAAGGGAGGCAUUCCUUCUUGUCGUUAAUUGGGGGUCCGGUCAGGGGGCCCUGGGCUCGAGUGGAGUCUCUGAAGCUGAAACAAGACCAGCUGUACCCUGCAGCUCAGCGACACCGGGCCACUGCCAUCGUGGUCCUUGGUGUGCCGCGACAUAUCAAGACAGACAAUGGCUCGUGCUUCAUCUCGCGAUCUACUCAAGAAUGGCUUGAGCAUUGGGGAAUAUCGCACUCGAAUGGCAUCCCUGGGAAUUCCCAGGGACAAGCAAUUGUGGAAAGGGCCAACCGUCUCCUGAAGGACAAGACAGGUGUCCUUGGGGAGGGGGAAGAUCACAGAGGUAGGAUCUCGGUAGCCCAGCAGGCGGAUGUAUUGGCAUAGCACAUUAUGCAGUCAAUCAUUUUGAACGAAGAGGUUAUGCCACAGUAAAGGAUAGAGAAUCAGGAAAAAUUUUAUGGGUCCCGUCAAGAAGAAUAAAACCUGAUGCAGUCAUCA